CCCCCGGGAUAACCGCCCGAAAGGACGGGUAAUACCGGAUACCCCCGGGCGCCGCAUGGCGCCCGGGCUAAAGCCCCGACGGGAGGGGAUGGCUCCGCGGCCCAUCAGGUAGACGGCGGGGUGACGGCCCACCGUGCCGACAACGGGCAGCCGGGUUGAGAGACCGACCGGCCAGAUUGGGACUGAGACACGGCCCAGACUCCUACGGGAGGCAGCAGUGGGGAAUCUUGCGCAAUGGGGGGAACCCUGACGCAGCGACGCCGCGUGCGGGACGGAGGCCUUCGGGUCGUAAACCGCUUUCAGCAGGGAAGAGUCAAGACUGUACCUGCAGAAGAAGCCCCGGCUAACUACGUGCCAGCAGCCGCGGUAAUACGUAGGGGGCGAGCGUUAUCCGGAUUCAUUGGGCGUAAAGCGCGCGUAGGCGGCCCGGCAGGCCGGGGGUCGAAGCGGGGGGCUCAACCCCCCGAAGCCCCCGGAACCUCCGCGGCUUGGGUCCGGUAGGGGAGGGUGGAACACCCGGUGUAGCGGUGGAAUGCGCAGAUAUCGGGUGGAACACCGGUGGCGAAGGCGGCCCUCUGGGCCGAGACCGACGCUGAGGCGCGAAAGCUGGGGGAGCGAACAGGAUUAGAUACCCUGGUAGUCCCAGCCGUAAACGA
rnacentral:rRNA from 1 species